UGGAACAGUUGAUGAUCGGGA
rnacentral:piRNA from 1 species